AAUUUCAGAAAUCCUAAAAUUCCUCUCUCAGUCCCUCGCUCUCCCUCCCACGCUCACCCUCUCUCCUCCGGCGAGUUCAUUGGCCACCGGAAAUCCCCUCUCAGUCUCUCGCUCUCCCUCCCGUGCUCACCCUCUCUCUCCUCCGGCGAGUUCUUCGGCCACCGGAAAUUCUCUCUCACUCCAGCACUCUCCCUCCCGCGCUCACCCUCUCUCUCCUCCGGCGAGUUCUUCGGCACCGGCGAAGCUGUCCGUCCACUGUCUCUCUCACUCCGGCGACGUCUACAGCCACCGGCGAAGCUCCUGUCUCUCUCUCACUCCGGCGAAGUCGAAGGCUCUCUCUCUCCUCCACCGGUGGUAAGUGGAAAAGUUACUCAUUAUAGCUGCCUAAAUGGACAAGGAUGGUGAAGUUGAAUCUUUGUAUACACGUAUUCCAAAUGAUGAAGAUUUUUUGGAGCAAGAUUGCCCUCAAAUAGAUGUGGAUGAAGAAGUUGAAGAACCAAAUGUCUUAAGGAUCACUUGUUCGGAUGAAGAGUUGGAUGGGGAUGAAAGUUCGAAUGAAGAGUUGGAUGGAGAUGAAAAAUUUGAAGAAACAGAGAUGAUCGGUGGGAAUGAAAAAGUUGAAGAACCAAGGAUGAUCGGUGGGAAUGAAAAAGUUGA